AUUGAACGCUGGCGGCAUGCUUUACACAUGCAAGUCGGACGAGUGGCGAACGGGUGAGUAAUAUAUCGGAACGUACCGAGUAAUGGGGGAUAACUAAUCGAAAGAUUAGCUAAUACCGCAUAUUAUUCGAGCGGCCGAUAUCUGAUUAGCUAGUUGGUGGGGGAAAGGCCUACCAAGGCGACGAUCAGUAGCGGGUCUGAGAGGAGGAUCCGCCACACGGUAACGGAGACACGGGCCAGACUCCUACGGGAGGCAGCAGUGGGGAAUAUUGCACAAUGGGCGCAAGCCUGAUGCAGCCAUGCCGCGUGUAUGAAGAAGGCCUUCGGGUUGGAAAGUACUUUCAGCGGGGAGGCGUUACCCGCAGAAGAAGCACCGGCUAACUCCGUGCCAGCCGCCGCGGUAAUAC
rnacentral:rRNA from 1 species